CUCCAACUCUGGGCUUCCAUGUGAUCUUUGGUGGAACAUGGGCCUUGGAUUUCAACACAGACACCAGCUGUGGUAGGACCACAGAUUCUGACAUGGUCCUCUGUAGCAGUCAGAUCUGGAUGUCACCAUUGCCCCAGCUGUCAGUGCAGGCCCCUCAGAUCUGCACGGCCCUAGCAACAGGGUGGCCCUUAGACACUAGCAUGGCCCCAGACCUCAGGCAUCCGAAUGGCUUUUGAUGGUAACAGGAGCCUCAGACAUCAACACAGACCCUGGCUGCAGUAGGGCCACAGACCCAGACAUGGUCUUCAGCUGUAGCUGUGGCCCAGAUGUCAUUAUGUCAUCGGCGGCAGCUCAGGCCAAUCAGGUCUGUGUGGCCACAGCUGUAGCAUGGCCCUGGGACACCAACAUGAACUCAUGUAGCUGAUCUGACCCGGGGCAUCCACACUGCCCUCAAUGGCAACAGGAGCUACAGACAUCAACCCAGACCCUUUCUGCUAUAUACACAGACCCAGACAUGGCCCUUGGCAACAGCCCUGGCCUGGUGUCACCAUGGCUCCAGGUGGCAAGCAGGCCACCCACAUCAGACUACUCCUCAAUACCUUCAUUUUCUUGAUUGGGGUUCUCUUCUCAGAUGACUUUAGUUGUGUCAAGUUGACAUAAAAGUAACUAUCCAGCACAGUGGCCCUUGUAAAUCUCUUCUUCCCAGACUUCAGCAUCUCACUGGUUAAAGUAAAGUAAACCCAGAGGGUUGCUAAAGCUUUGGCCAGAUCCAAGUAAUCAACAGUGCCAUGCGUGUGACAGAGGAACAAGAUCUGGGACAGAUGAGGAUCUCAGAGCUCUCAGCCACGGUUGAGCAGAUCUCUGGGGAUGCUUCCAUAUCCGAUCCAUAGCGAAGUAAGGCUUGUUGCUCAGGGGCUCCAGAUGUUUCCAUGUUUAUGCAGCUGCUUCAUGACAAAAUCAUCCAACCAUCAUAGAGUCAUGUGCACUGAGAUGAGACUAAUUUAUUUGGAUGUUCAAGCAGAUGAGGGGGUUACUGUGUUCUACAUGAGAGAACUGAAACCUGCAUUGAUCAUGGUGGAUAUCUGUGGAACUGUGAUGGACUUCACACAUGACUAA
rnacentral:lncRNA from 1 species